AAGUGACGCACAUUUGGAGCGCCUGCAUUCCAAAACGCUAACGGAAGAUGAUUUAAGGCCAGCAGAGACAUGCUUUCAGCACCUAUGCCCCUGAGGAAGCAGUUGUUACUGCGAAACGCGUAGGGCUGCAUAGGUGGACGGUGGGGAACAAGUCCCCAUCCGUUCCCAACGUAGACAGAUAGAAUUUGCUACUGGAGAAUUGGGAAUGGAAGGGUGGGGCAAUUACGAAUUGGUACAGCCUCAUUAGGGGCUGUGUGACUACUAUAUUAUUCGCAUUGGAUAGCGGGUACAAACUUACCCCACCAACACCUUAUGCUUAUCUUUUUAAUAUAUGUUUUAAGGUUAAAGUCCUGCACUGCUGACACUUGUUUUUGGGCAGUGUGUCUUCAUUACUGUUGUUUGGUGUGCUGUGUGGGCAGUUGCCCAGUGUCCUGUGUGGCAUUUUUAAAGUUAACUAUUAAAGGUUUAAUUUUUAAUGAUCCUAAUGUCUUGAUAUAGCCCAAAGGUUGUUUACCUGAACUGGUUUGCUGGAGGUGGGGGAAAUGGGGUCUAUUCUUGUAUGGGGCUACAACCUACACACCUCGGUUUUCUGUGGUUAUAUUAGUUGCUUGACUUGUACAAAAUGUUUUUAUUUUUGUGGUUUGUAUGUGCAGAAAACUACUGCCUAAAACCUAGUAAAGCAAAAACUCUGCUAGUCUCAUGGUACCAGAAAUCAUACAAAUUAAAAUGCCCCACACUUCUUGUGGUAACUUCUCUAGAAUGAGCAACAAAUUCAUUCAACUGAACAGAGGUUUGAACGUUAAGUACAAAUAGAUCUUGCUUCAACAUCACAUGUGCAAUGAUUGAACCUACAAAGUCAAAUUACGUGGUAUAUUUUAUUUUUCUGUAAGUGGAAAAAUAAGGAAACAAAACUAGAAGGCAUCCAAUCCUAUGUACCUUUGCAAUAACAUGGAAAUAAACUUCUACAGAGUUCUGUGGACAAACCAGACUGGAAAUAUAAGUGCAAGCUUUGAGGAACCUGGCCUUUCUGUUAUCCACGGACUGUGGCAGCAGGAUCCAAAGUGAACUAUAUGUGAGAAGUGCGUACUGGAGCUCCACCAGCGUGAGCGUUAUAAGCAGCACAGCAAAACAGUUUAUAAGGAGCACCCCGGAAAAACUACUCACAGUGUGCUGCACAUGAAAGCUGCUCCGGAUAGCAUCGGUCAAAGUUCAUCUACAAAGCAUGGAGCACUACGUGAAGUAUUUUAUGUAAAAUCCAGUAUUUAUUUAAUUCAUUUAAAAAUCAAUACAAAAGAACGCCAUGUGUAUAUAGAACCAUCACACUUGACGCGUUUCGUAGCCCACCGGCUACUUUUUCAAAAGCUUGUUAUAAGCAGAACUCCAGGAUGUGGUAAAGUAUGAGAGAGAAUAUUACAAUGGAGGAUUGAGCAGCACCUAUGCCGGACUCUUUAUACUGGUAACAAGACGCUAUCCAAUAUCACAUCGCCUUCGUUCCCCACACACUUACCACACAUCUAAUUAUUGGAUCUUCUAAUGGAACUGUUGCAAGACACUUGGGGUCAUUUAUCAACACUGGGCAAAUUUGCCCAUGGGCAGUAACCCAUGGCAACCAAUCAGAUUGCUGCAUACAUUGUUCUACUUGCAGCUGGCUUUAAAAAGCUAAUCACUGGUUGGAUGCUAUAGGCAACUGCCCAUGGGCAAAUAUGCCCAGUGUUGCUUAAUGAGCCCCACUGUCUUUGUCUUUUAAAAGCAGGCAGCCUCUGGCUAUACAUGCGGGAGUGCUAGAUACAAGGCUAUACAAAGUUGGAACAGUGUUCCAUUUCUGUCCCAAAUUGCUACAAAUGUCUAGAAUGGCUGUUCUAUAAAAUAUAGCGGAUCCAAACUUGGCCAGACAAUUCUUCAAAAACUUUUUAACAGUAUCAAAGUGGUUAAUGAAUUCUCUUGUGAUGCCACACAACGGAUAUAUUUAACCAAAGAAUUGCUAAUGAACUUGAAUGAUUUUUCUUACUUAUUCAACCCCACAUGAAUUGAAAAUUAAUUUGUUCUAUAGGCUGAUGAAUGAAUGAACUGUGAUGAGAAUGCGAAAUUUUGCACUUUAUAACUUAUCUAUUUAUUGAUCAGCUGAUUAAGUAUGUUAAGUUGAUUGAUGCAUUUUUUGUUAACACAUAUUAAUUCAUAAUUAACUAAUGAACUAGAAUAAUCUCAAAUGAAAUAAAUUAAAUUAUUCAAAUGAAGUAAAAUGACCGUGUGCAGAUUGAGAGAUAAUUGGUGUAAUUGGUGUAACUAAUACUGCACCUGCUUCCUUUGUUUCCAUUUUAUCUCUAAUUUGCAUUGAGGAUUCAUUGUUUGGAUUACUGGAAAUGAGCUGAGGAGAUCAUUAUAACUGGUUUGGUGACUUAAGUUAUUUACACAUUGUGGUCUAUUAACAUAUAUAUUAUUCUAAUAGUUGAAUCACUCAAAACUAAUUGACCCCAGGAGCAACGUGUACAAUAGCAUAGACUAUACAUUUCGCAAAACAAAAGAUACAGAAAUAUUUUUUGUGCUUAAAUACCUUCAAUGUGUUAACAACUUUAAGCAAUAUUACUGCAACCUACCAAACCUUGCAUGUAUGUAAAGUGUUUAAGUGUACUCUAAUACUUGAUUUGGGUAUUAGGGAACAGCACACAGAGCUGGUCAGAGCAGCUAUUCUAGGUAUAAAAGCCUAUGUCUGCUUUUGCAAAUGCAAAUAGAGACAUGUAAAGUACACCUUUUAACACAUCUUUAUUGAAAUUCCCUAUAACAUUAAACACACACUUUUCUAUUC